GCUAGAUUUUUUUAAAAAUAUUUAUUUAUUUAUUUAUUUAUUUUAUGAUUUCAUUUUUUCCUUUUUCUCCCCAAAGUCCGCGAGUACAUAGUUGUAUAUUCUUUGUUGUGGGUCCUUCUAGUUGUGGCAUGUGGGACACUGCCUCAGCGUGGUCUGAUGAGCAGUGCCAUGUCCGCGCCCAGGAUUCGAACCAACGAAACACUGGGCCGCCUGCAGCGGAGGGCGUGAACUUAAUCACUUGGCCACAGGGCCAGCCCUCAAGAUGCUAGAUUUUUGGCAAGGGUGCUGUUAUGGCUGUUUUUCUUUCCUUUUUCCCUUUUUUUUCUUCAGUCUUAGGAAUUGGUGAUGGGCUUAGAUAUUUCCCAGAGAGUUUGCAAGCUCUUUGAGAUAAGGAAAAUGGGUGGAAUCUGAACUGCCUCUAGAGCUGCAUUCCCACUCUUGCAAGGAUUUUUUUUUAAUGACAGUUGCUCUUAAUUCCUUAGAAAUUGGGUUGUAACUUAAAUGACAUUAUAAGUUGACCUACCUGUCCAACUAUAUCAAAAAGGCACAAAGAAAUGAUUCAAGUUUUCUCCAAGAUGGAGUUUCUGGGGCAUAUUUGCCUUAUCAGUUUCUAAUGUCCCAAUAUCUAUGAGCAUUUUUUUUUUUUUAAAUAUUGGCACCUGAGCUAAUAACUGUUGCCAAUCUUUUUUUUUCUCUGCUUUUUCUCCCCAAGUCCUCUCAGUACAGAGUUGUAUAUUUUAGUUGUGGGUCCUUCUAGUUGUGGCAUGUGGGAUGCCACCUCAGUGUGGUCUGAUGAGCGGUGCCAUGUCCGCGCCCAGGAUCCAAACCAGUGAAACCCUGGGCUGCCAAAGUGGAGCACAUGAACUUAACCACUUGGCCAUGGGGCUGGCCCCUCUGUGAGCAUUUUGAGAGGAACAGGGGAGGUUUGGGGAUUGGUAAAAGGACAAGUGAACUUUGAGCCAUCUUCUAGAACCAUACAGGGAUUUGCAAAACAAAAGGAUUUGCAAGACAAAGAUGGUUGUUUCCAGUUCCCCAAAGAAAUGGACUACGGUCUGAAUGAUAAAAUAGGUUGACCCACCCUUUCAGCUACACUUUUCCAAUUGCUUCCUUAUAUCAGGGAGAUUUUUAACUUAAGAAGUGAAUCAAAAGAUUUUUAUGUUCUAAAACUUCAGGACAAUGUAUCACACCUUUAAAAAGUCUGCACAAAGUGGAAGGCCCUCUUUCCAAGUGCACAAUUCAAAUCUAGACCAAUUUAUGCUGGGGGUGGGGUGCUUUCAUUAGCACCUGUAAGACCAUGAGAGGAAGCUGAGACCCCAAAUUUGAUUAGGUUCUUAAGACUAGUCAUUACCAGAGCUCUCCAAAUUUUUUUCCAAUUUAGAAGUUUUUCCAAUUUAAGGCUCUGUCUCUGGCCAUUGACAAGUAAGGUCUUAACAGCAAUUCUUAACCAAUAAGCCUUUUAGGGCUUAAUUAUGGAUGCAAGAGGUGUCCCCAAAAGAGAGUGCAAAAGAAGUAGAAAGUUCACUCCCCAAAAUAAUCUAAGAAAGCAAAGGCCUUCGUUGCACAGGUGGUAGUGUACUAACAGGCAAUGAAGGAUGAGACAACAAAGGGCCCCUGAUGGACUGGGGCCCCUCAUGACAAACAUCCCUGAGAUCUGAUACAGCUGGACAGAGAGAGUACGCCUGGGAACCCCAGUCUACUUGACUGGCCAAAGAUGCACGCUGGUACAUGCAUCCUCUGGAUGGCAGAGACCAAAGAGGUCACAAAGCUAAGGUCUCAAAACAUGGACUGAGGGCCCGCCCAGACAACAGGCUUGUGGAGAUGCCUGUGUCUUGCCCUAUGGUUUUUUUCCUUUUUAUGACAAGUGACACAAAAGACAGAGACAAGAAAAAAUAGUAACCAUCUCUGGGAGGAGAAGGAUCAGUAAACCAAUGAGUACUCAAACCAAUUUCUCAGAGUUGCUGAAUGAUCCACCAUCUGGCCAUUUUCUCUGGAUUUUAAAGACUAUCGUGGCCAUGUGGUUUUAUAAAAGAAUAUUAAGCUUUUUCUGUUUCAUGGGCUUGUAGCCUAAAAUUGCCCAGUUUGAGAGAAUGUAGCCUGAGGGACUACAGGUGGGGAUUGAAAUAGCAUUUCCCAUUGUUUCAGAAUUUAGACGUGGCCAGUCAAAAGUAUAUUUAUGUUGCAGCUAGAACUAGAUCUCUAAAAUUUUGGGCAUCCCCCAAACCAAGACCCUCACAAUGAAGGCCAAACCAAGGCUUCCUUGUAAUGGCCAAUGCCAUUCCCUUGAGGCUGAUGGCAGUUUGGUAGGACCCCUAGCCACAAACCGGAGUGCGCCCUGCAUUUCUUCUCUGCUGUUUCUUACCACAAAAUGGAGUGCAACCGCAUUUUUGCCCAAUUGUAUUUUGGGACCUCCAACCUGAUGAUUAUUAAGCCAAGCCCUCAGGACACUAAACAAGCUUAAUAGGAUUGUGCAGUUCUUUGUAAACAUUUACAACUUCUGGAAACUUUAGGUUUUGAACAAUUAUACGGGAAGGUGGCGAGCUUGACCUUUAAAAAAUUUCUUUGUUACCUGGGUCUUAAAAAGGAGCCUCAAAGUGGCCACUGUAGUUUUAAAUUAUCCUGGGUUAUCUUGCCACUUGUUUACAGUUAUCCCCAUUUUAGGAGGCUUUUCCCAAGGUGGCCACAACAAACAAGGUAAUUUCUAAAGAGAGUUUGUUACGGUUACUGAGAAACUCAGUCCUCAAAACAGCCAAUUCAAUUUAGACAAACGUUAACACGCAACAAUUCUACAUAUAACACAGACCAGAAUACUAGCUGGUUUUCAGGAGUAGCUCAGAACCAGUGCCAGGAGCUACUCAAAACCAGAUUGCCAGGGCAGCACACAAUCUGUGCCAGCAGUUGCCCAGAUCCAGAAGCAACUUCAUGAGUGAAGCUUUCAUCCUGCCUCUAAUUACCUUGGGUGGUUCAGGCCCAAGCUUCGGGUCUCAGGCCACCAGGAUUCCCCAGAAUACAAGCCAAACUUGUAUUUCCAGGAAAUCAAACUAGAGAGACGAGGUAAGGGACAGACGCUUUCUUAAAGUUACUCACCGAGAGCCCAGAGACAUCUUGACCCAGAAGCUGCAUCUUCACCCCCUGCAAAAAAAACCUCCUUGGGGCUGGGAGCACUGCAGCAGAGGAAACAAGAAUCUGGUCAGUUGAGCCUCUAGACAAAAUUGUCUAGGCAGCUGCUUAGGAUUGAUGAAAAGACCCCACAGUCCACCAGGGGUUCCAAAGCCUUGGAUGGGCAGUCACAGGACCUUGUCCUAUCUGGUCACCAAUUGUUACCACACAAAAUUGGGGUUCUUUUACCCAAUGUGCACAAACAGCCAAUUAAUUAUAGCAUCAACUUUUAGGGGAGAAAUCAGCUUUAUUCUGCAAGACAGCUCUGAGGGCACACGCCCCCAUCUCCCUGCAGAUUGAUCUCACAGAAUAAAGGUGAUUUCUUCCCCAAAAGCUGAUCUCAUAAUUAAUUGGCUAUUUGUGCACACUGGGCAAGAGAGCCCAAUUUUGUGUGGUAACACCCUUAUAGUGCAGGUAUCAUUUCCAUUUACACAUGAGGAAACUGCCGCGGAGAGAUGCUAAGCAACUUUUGUAAAGUCACACAGCUAGUAAAUAGAGAAGUCCCUGGACUUGACACCACACUUUCCCCAGGCUCCAAAAGCCAUCAGGGGUUAGGUUAAUUGGAAUCUGAUGUCUUUGUCACUUCUCACUUUAAUUAUUCCUCACUGUUUAAAGUGGAAGACACUUCGAGUUACCUUAGUCUACUGUCUGUCAGAGUGAGAGGGAGGGGAAAGGAGACAAUUUGCAAGUGAUCAAAAGAUAGUCCUGAUAUUUAAGAUUCUCUUACCUUUCAUUUUUCGUUUUGGGGUCUUAGGCACCUCAAGUCCAGGUGUCAAAGGAUCAGAGCAUCUGCAGCCCAACUCUCCCACUGCUGAGGUCUCCCACCACAUUGGAAGCUGGGGUAGGGUACAAAACUGCCCUCAGAGUUUCAGAAGAGGCAGAGUGGAGAGGAGGGGCUGGGGACAAGAGCUGAGCUUUGACUAGACACCGGCUCCUCCCUUUCCCAUCCCUGCAGUGGCCGGUAGCUGCAGAGCUCGUGGUAGAGGUGUCCGGGGGUCACAUGACUGGGCCUCACCUUCUUCAAGAUCUCCGAUUUAGUCUUAUGGCAGCUUCUAGUGAGGUUGGGCAUAUAGUCGUAUUUAGCAAGUGCAUGUGCUGAAACAGUUGACUUGUUAAAUGUGAACAAAAUAUAUCACAUUUUUAGUAACUCUGCUUUAGGAAUUUUCCUCCUUCCACUGUCCCUCUACUUCCCCCUCCCUCCCUCCCUCCAUUUCCCUUUUUUCUCUCUCUCUUUCUCUCUGUCACAGAGGCCCUAGUAGCUGACUUUUCCUUUAAUUUCAUACCAAGUUUGAUAGAGAUUUCUUGGUAUAGCCUCUAUUGGCAGUACACUUGGCAUUUCAAACCAUUUUUAAAAAAAGUUGUAAGUGGGUGGAGGAUAAUAUUUGAGAAAAUAAUUGAAUUUUUUCUCCAGGCCUUUUUUUUUUUUUUAAAGUACAUAGUUGUGUGCUUUUAGUUGUGGGUCCUUCUAGUUGUGGCAUGUGGGACGCCGCCUCAGCAUGGCUUGACGAGUGGUGCCAUGUCCGUGCCCAGGAUCUGAACAGGCGAAACCCUGGGCCGCAGAAGUGGAGCGCUCGAACUUAACCACUCGGCCACAGGGCCAGCCCCUCUCCAGGCUUUCUUAUACACAUUAGCCUUCUCCCACCACUGGGGCACUGGGAUAUGAUCCUGAAUGCACUACCCUCAGGAGAGAGCUGACAAAUAGACAGUCUUUCUAUUUCAUUCUAAGAGCUAGGUUUUUAAGAGAGAGAAGGGUUUUAAAUUCUGAAAAAUUUGGCUUUGACAUCAAUAUCCAGUGGCUUCAGCAUCCAGGGGUGUGUCAGAGCUGGCCUGCACCAGCUCAGGAGAGCAGAUUGUGGACAUCUUUUCUCAACUCCAUGUUCAGUAGCUUGAAAUCAACCAUGGUGGAAGUGUGUACACCAUGAAAAUUGGCAAAUACUACAAACCAGGGUUUUUUUUCCCCCUAAAAAAUCAGUUGUUAAACAUUCACCAACAUAUCACUGCUUUAUUCCAUUAACAAUUGAUUGGACAGUGCAAAUGAUGAUGUAGAAACAGUUUCCCACCUCUAUCUAGAUAGAGAUCCCACAGAUUGUGGAAGGAGAGGGGAUUAAGAGAAAAAAGCACAGGUGAACCACCCAGUAAACCCUUCUAGGCUGAAGCCAAGGAGGUUGGUGUAGGGCACGCAGAAAAAUAUCCAGAUAGGGCUGGAGAUAGGAGGCCCAGCAGACUGUGUCCCACUUCCCAUCUGCAACUCUGUGAGCAGUUAGGAGCUACACAGACUGCUGUGAGUGAAAAUGGGCAGAAAUGGCAGCAGGUGUAGAAAUGGCCUGUGAGAGCUAGCCUCCCUGCUGCUCCCCCACCUGCCAUGCCUCCCUCAACUCCUUUGAGGCCAAGGAACCCAUAGAGAUUUCCUGUCCGACACCAGGAUGGGAGUGGAGAUCAGCUCAGAGACUGGGAGUACGUGGGCCAGUGGGUCACUGACCUUGCCUUGGCUGCUGUCAAGACCACUGAGGAUGGCACAGUUCAGAAACCAACAUGCUGGAAGCCAGCGAGCAUUGACCAGGAUUCCUCUCCGACAAGACCAAGGCCCCCGGUGACUUAGGUCACUUUCCAAGAGAAGUGUGAGGAAGAGAGUCAAGAAGUGAUUAUUGUCCCCAGGAACGACUGGGUUGGGUCCAUGAAUUAUACAAUAUUUGGCGACCAGAUGUCAUUGAGGGUUUUUUUAAAGAAGUUUUCAUAGAAGAGAUGGAAGAUUGGCAAAAACCAUAGAAAAUGGCGACUGAAAAGUUGUGUGCUGAUCGAUGGAAAAAAGGAAAGGGCAACAAGUGGAGGAGAGUCAAGACUGCAAUGAGAAUAAAAGAAACGGGGAAAUAGAAACACACGACAACAAUGCCUAAGAGAGCGACAGAGGAAACAUUGAGAAGAAAACAGAUAAGGGAGAAAUACUGCACAGAGAAUGCUACACCAGAAAUUAGCAAGAUCCGUGGAGGCAGGAAGAAAAUAAAGAAGAAAGAUAGAGGUUAUAUGGUCCCAUGUAACAGGAGCCCCCGAUUUCUAUGCUUCCUGGGAUUGUGUUAGAGGUAGGGAGCUAUUCCAUGGCUCCAUAAUUCCCCUCGAGAAACAAGGCAUUUCAAAGUUUCCCAAACCUAGUGUGUACUGGACUGUGAGAGCUAGUUGUUAAAUUUUCAGGAAUUCCGUGAGCUAGCUGUUAAACUGGUUAUUUUAAAAAAAAUAAUAACACUAUAUAAGCUUAAAAUUAAAUAAAUUAUAUUAAAAACACAUAAUAGAUACUAAAAACUCAUCAGGUUCUAAUUAUUUUGGAAUAUUUUACUAUCGAUGUAUCUGCAUCUAUCGUGUGGAAAUAUUAUGCAACGGUGUGUUACUACAUAUCCUUUCGUAACACUGCCUUCAAGUGACUUCAUAUUGGAGGAUUGAAAUCAGCCACAGUGGGAGUAUCUACACCAUAGAGAUCAGCAAUUACUACAAAUUGAGGCUUAACAUAUUGUUUUAUUGAUUGUCUAGAUGUAACAACAUGGUGGAGAAAAUAAUACUGUAGAUUAAACUUAAAAGUGUAUUGUGUCCGUAGCUGUUACAUUGUG
rnacentral:lncRNA from 1 species